AAAUUUGCCAAAUAAAAUCAUACAUCAACGUUGAUUUCUUAUCAUGAUUGAUACAGAUUUUGGAUACAAACUAUGUUAUGAUGAUAAUCUAUUGGCAUUAAACAUACUGCAAUAACGGAAAGGUUAAUAGAGUAUUUCUUAGAUAUUUGCUAACUGAAGCUCCAGAGAAAUAAAUCCACAAGUAUCCAGCAGCUUCUGAGAAGUACAGUACUAGUUAGCUGGGUACAAAGGAAACAGAGUUCUUUUACGGUGGUUCCUGAAACUCCGUCCCAGCUUGUUAGUUACUACUUUAUCCGGUGAUGUGCCCACCAUGUGAUAGAAUCCCGCCAGGCUUCAGUGUUCUGCCCCAGCAACGAUACAACAGGCGACAGGCUAAUUACAGCAUCAUUUUUCCCCCUCAAAGAUGAAAACCAUGUUGUCAAUUUUUGCCGACAUGCAAUGACCUGCUUGAUGAAUGAUGGAGCAAAUAGGGAAAGUGUAAUUAAGUCCGUGAAUUAAUCAUCCAUCAGAGAUGAGCCUCAAGGUGAAAUUUUCAUACACCCUCGAAAUAUCCUUUUUUGUAUCUUACAAAAAGACAAGUUAUCACACAAUAUUUUACAAGCAACUAACUGAAUUAACCUUUGUUAGCGGUGAACUUCAUUGACUGUCCUUUAGGAUGCAACUGCUACCAAUAACUACAGCUUUUUAGAAAUUAAACUAAAAACUAAAGUAUAUAGCAACAUUAACAUCAUUGAGAAUUGUAUACUUAAUCCAACUGCCAAUCAUUAGGUAAAGAAGAAAAGUUGAAGAUCUUACCAUCAAUCCAAAAGUAAGUGCAAGUUAAAAAAUGGGAUAUAGAGAACUACUUCAUACUAUGUCCCAUGUGCAGACAGUGAACGAGAAUCCUAUGUUCUCGAAGUGGUGAAAAGUACCAUUGCGUUUUUUCAAAUAAAGUUGCUCAAUGUUUUAGAUACGAAAAACCAUGCACAAAGUAGAACACACAAUCUCAUAUGUAUGAUACCCUGGAAAUUGAUAUGCACAAAAUGUUACUAAAGAGGACACAAUUCUGUAUUACAAACUCCAGCAACUAGUUAUUCUGACUAAAAUCUACUUCACAAAUGGAGC
rnacentral:lncRNA from 1 species